GUAGGGAAUAUUGGUCAAUGGACGAAAGUCUGAACCAGCCAUUCCGCGUGCAGGAAGAAGAUUCUAUGGAUUGUAAACUGCUUUUAGCAGAGAAGAAACGCCUUCAUUGAUGAGGGUUUGACGGUAUCUGCGGAAUAAGCACCGGCUAACUCCGUGCCAGCAGCCGCGGUAAUACGGGGGGUGCAAGCGUUAUCCGGAAUCACUGGGUUUAAAGGGUGCGUAGGCGGGAAAUUAAGUCAGUGGUGAAAGUCUGUUGCUUAACGAUAGAAUUGCCGUUGAUACUGAUUUUCUUGAAUGGGGUGUGGGUUAGCGGAAUGUGACAUGUAGCGGUGAAAUGCAUAGAUAUGUCAUGGAACACCAAUUGCGAAGGCAGCUAGCUGGGCCUUGAUUGACGCUGAGGCACGAAAGCGUGGGUAGCGAACAGGAUUAGAAACCCGUGUAGUCC
rnacentral:rRNA from 1 species